AGAAGGGAUUGCACUGCCUGGGAAAUGGGGUGAGGUGCUGCUGGUACCAGCUGUGUUUGUUCUCGUGGUUUUUUGUACACGGCAGAGCUAUUUAUCAGCCAGCUUCAGCCAAGAUCAGUAAAUUCAACCCACCCCAGCCCUAGUGGGGGAAAGCAGAGAUGGUAAGGCUGCUCACACAUACCUGUCCUGGCCCCAGACACCCAUCGCCAAGUUACUGCAGGCAGCAGGCUGCAAGAGAAAUCACAGCAAGAGCAGGAGGCGAGAAGAGGGCAUCAGCUGGACGUCACACCCCAUGGACACCUGGGAAGGCGAGGCUGAGAAAUGCUGUGCUGUUUUGGGGAGCAGCUUCAGGCAAGGGAUCCCAGCAAUGGAUUGCCUCUU
rnacentral:lncRNA from 1 species